CCCAGUUCGGAUUGUAGUCUGCAACCCGACUACAUGAAGCUGGAAUCGCUAGUAAUCGCAGGUCAGCAUACUGCGGUGAAUACGUUCCCGGGUCUUGUACACACCGCCCGUCACACCAUGGGAGCCGGAAAUGCCCGAAGCCAGUGACCCAACCUUAGGGAGGGAGCUGUCGAAGGUGGAGCCGGUAACUGGGGUGAAGUCGUAACAAGGUAGC
rnacentral:rRNA from 1 species